GACGAACGCUGGCGGCGUGCUUAACACAUGCAAGUCGAACGGUGAAGCCCUUCGGGGUGGAUCAGUGGCGAACGGGUGAGUAACACGUGAGCAACCUGCCCCUGACUCUGGGAUAACUACCGGAAACGGUGGCUAAUACCGGAUAUGACCUGCCCGGGCAUCCGGGGGGGUGGAAAGUUUUGCGGUUGGGGAUGGGCUCGCGGCCUAUCAGCUUGUUGGUGGGGUGAUGGCCUACCAAGGCGACGACGGGUAGCCGGCCUGAGGGGGCGACCGGCCACACUGGGACUGAGACGCGGCCCAGACUCCUACGGGAGGCAGCAGUGGGGAAUGUUGCGCAAUGGGAGAAAGCCUGACGCAGCGACGCCGAGUGGGGGAUGAGGGCCUUCGGGUUGUAAACCCUCUUCAGCAGGGAAGAAGCGCAAGUGACGGUACCUGCAGAAGAAGCACCGGCUAACUACGUGCCAGCCGCCGCUGUAACAC
rnacentral:rRNA from 1 species